UUGGGAUAGCUCAGUUGGUAGAGCAGAGGACUGAAAAUCCUCGUGUC
rnacentral:tRNA from 38 species